GACGAACGCUGGCGGCGUGCCUAAUACAUGCAAGUAGAGCGCUGAAGGAGGAGCUUGCUUCUCUGGAUGAGUUGCGAACGGGUGAGUAACGCGUAGGUAACCUGCCUGGUAGCGGGGGAUAACUAUUGGAAACGAUAGCUAAUACCGCAUAAUAGCAGUUGUUGCAUGACAACUGUUUGAAAGGUGCAAUUGCACCACUACCAGAUGGACCUGCGUUGUAUUAGCUAGUUGGUGGGGUAACGGCUCACCAAGGCGACGAUACAUAGCCGACCUGAGAGGGUGAUCGGCCACACUGGGACUGAGACACGGCCCAGACUCCUACGGGAGGCAGCAGUAGGGAAUCUUCGGCAAUGGACGGAAGUCUGACCGAGCAACGCCGCGUGAGGGAAGAAGGUUUUCGGAUCGGAAAGCUCUGUUGUAAGAGAAGAACGAGUGUGAGAGUGGAAAGUUCACACUGCGACGGUAUCUUACCAGAAAGGGACGGCUAACUACGUG
rnacentral:rRNA from 1 species